rnacentral:rRNA from 1 species
UACGUAGGCAGCGAGCGUUGUUCGGAAUUACUGGGCGUAAAGAGUGUGUAGGCGGUGUUCCCAGUCUGUUGUGAAAUCUCCCGGCUUAACUGGGAGGGUGCGGCGAAAACUGGAGUGCUAGAGGGUGGGAGAGGAAAGCGGAAUUCCUGGUGUAGCGGUGAAAUGCGUAGAUAUCAGGAGGAACACCAGUGGCGAAGGCGGCUACCUGGACCGGUUCUGACGCUGAGGCGCGAAAGCGUGGGUAGCAAACAGG